CAGCAGGUCCAGUUUUCAGCUGAAUUGGUAAAGGAGACGCACAUGGGGAGGAGGCCCAAGUUCCCAGGAGACAUUAGAUGGCUUAAAAGUCUGCUCAUCAGGACCUAGCUCCCUAUGGAGAGAGCCUCAGGACUGCCAGGACCUCUUUUUGUCCUUCUGGUAAUUAGCUAAAACAGCAAAGCAAAGAAGAGAAGCACCGUGGAGUAGCAGGGGAGUGGGUUUCGACUGUGGUUCCCGAGAGGAGCGAGCUUCUGUCCCGAGUGAGCACCUUCAGCCUCACUUCAUGCUCACGAGGCCCAAUGACCUGUUUGCACGGAUUUUAUUCUUCCCUCUCUGCUAUGGCCUGGGAAAGCAGUACAAGAUGGCCCAAGUGCUUGGACCCCUGCAUCCGCGUGGGAGAUCCGGAAGAAGCUCCUGGCUUCAGAUUGGUGCAGCUCCGGCUGUUGCAGCCAAUUGGGGAGUGAACCAUCGGAUGUAGGACCUGUCUGUGUAACUCUGACUUUCAAAUAAAUAAAUAA